rnacentral:lncRNA from 1 species
GUCAGUCCAUCGAUGUGGAGCACUCCAAUGUCCUUGAAGACAACGGCAACGUUCUCCCCAUUCUUCAGGCAGCCAGAGAGCAGGGACACGGUGCUUUGGAUGCAAGCCUGCGCUGUCUGCCAGGUCACAGAGGCAGCUGCGGCCACCUCGCUGCUCUUGAGCGGCUCCAGCUUCCUAUGGGCUGAAAAAUGGGAGGGACGGAGUUGAUGAUACGGUUGGUUUUCCGCAGUGCUUCCCUGGAACUGCUUCUUGUGGCCAUCAGCCAGAACGGCCCCGUGUUUGGACGGGCUCCUCCGAGGGGGAGGGACUCCCUGCGGGGCUUGAGGUGGUGCACGGCUAUGAGGUUUCCAGACAAGUGAAAGACGGGCCACCGCAGAGUCACGGUCCCGUCCUCAGUCCUGAUGUCUCUGGAGAUGGUGUCAAAGGAUCCGAAGCACAGCAGUCAGGGCAGAAGCAGCCUGAUGGGAUCCAGAGGCUUCCCGCGAGCGGGAUCAGCCCUGAGACAGGACAGCGCCCAGCACAGGUGAUCCUGCGGGAUUUGCAGGAAGCCCAUGGCAUGCCCAGUAGAGACACGUGGGGUGAGUUUCCUGCUUUCUGUGGAGGGGAAGAGUGGGAGGAAGUCUUGGCUGAGGCAGACAGGGAGAGGAGGAACCCGGCAUCCAACCCACCUUCUGCACCAGGAGGUGCUCUUGUACGUAGGCGGCCACCGCAUCCCAGACGGCAACUCGCUCUGGAGGGCAAAGGAAAAGCGGGUCACACUCUGCACCUGCCGCUUCCCGGCAGCCCUCCCGCUGCCAGGCGGGAGUGAGGUGGCAGAUGGAAAGUGUCGUCUGCGUGCCAAGAUUGGCUGCAGCAGCGCUCCUGUGGUGGC